rnacentral:rRNA from 1 species
UACGGAGGGUGCGAGCGUUGUCCGGAAUCAUUGGGCGUAAAGGGCGCGUAGGUGGCUUCUUAAGCGUGCGGUGAAAGCCUGGGGCUCAACCCCGGGUCGGCCGUGCGAACUGGGGGGCUGGAGCACUGUAGAGGCAGGCGGAAUUCCGGGUGUAGCGGUGGAAUGCGUAGAGAUCCGGAGGAACACCGGUGGCGAAGGCGGGUCUCUGGGCCGAUACUGACGCUGAGGAGCGAAAGCGUGGGGAGCGAACAGG